GUCCUGUGGUAGCACAUACACUGAAAUUGGAACAACACAUAGAAGAUUAGCAUUGUCUCCGCAUAGGGAUGCCGCACAAGUUCAAAAGCAUUCCAUAUAUUU